rnacentral:rRNA from 1 species
GACGAACGCUGGCGGCGUGCUUAACACAUGCAAGUCGAACGGUAAGGCCCUUCGGGGUACACGAGUGGCGAACGGGUGAGUAACACGUGGGUGAUCUGCCCUGCACUUCGGGAUAAGCCUGGGAAACUGGGUCUAAUACCGGAUAGGACUCCUGGCUUCAUGGUUGGGGGUGGAAAGCUUUUGCGGUGUGGGAUGGGCCCGCGGCCUAUCAGCUUGUUGGGGGGGUAAUGGCCUACCAAGGCGACGACGGGUAGCCGGCCUGAGAGGGUGACCGGUCACACUGGGACUGAGAUACGGCCCAGACUCCUACGGGGGGCAGCAGUGGGGAAUAUUGCACAAUGGGCGCAAGCCUGAUGCAGCGACGCCGCGUGAGGGAUGACGGCCUUCGGGUUGUAAACCUCUUUCAGCUAUGGCGAAGCGCAAGUGACGGUAGUAGCAGAAGAAGGACCGGCCAACUACGUGCCAGCCGCCGCGGUAA